rnacentral:rRNA from 1 species
AUACGUAGGGUGCGAGCGUUGUCCGGAAUUACUGGGCGUAAAGAGCUCGUAGGUGGUCUGUCGCGUCGUCUGUGCAAUUCCGGGGCUUAACUCCGGGCGUGCAGGCGAUACGGGCAUAACUUGAGUACUGUAGGGGAGACUGGAAUUCCUGGUGUAGCGGUGAAAUGCGCAGAUAUCAGGAGGAACACCGGUGGCGAAGGCGGGUCUCUGGGCAGUAACUGACGCUGAGGAGCGAAAGCAUGGGUAGCGAACAGGAUUAGAUACCCUGGUAGUCCAUGCCGUAAACGGUGGGCGCUAGGUGUAGGGGUCUUCCACGACUUCUGUGCCGUAGCUAACGCAUUAAGCGCCCCGCCUGGGGAGUACGGCCGCAAGGCUAAAACUCAAAUGAAUUGACGGGG